rnacentral:rRNA from 1 species
UGGGGAAUAUUGGACAAUGGGCGAAAGCCUGAUCCAGCAACGCCGCGUGAGGGAUGACGGCCUUCGGGUUGUAAACCUCUUUCAGCAGGGACGAAGCGCAAGUGACGGUACCUGCAGAAGAAGCACCGGCCAACUACGUGCCAGCAGCCGCGGUAAUACGUAGGGUGCGAGCGUUGUCCGGAAUUAUUGGGCGUAAAGGGCUCGUAGGCGGUCUGUUGCGUCGGGAGUGAAAACUCAGGGCUUAACCCUGAGCCUGCUUCCGAUACGGGCAGACUAGAGGUAUGCAGGGGAGAACGGAAUUCCUGGUGUAGCGGUGAAAUGCGCAGAUAUCAGGAGGAACACCGGUGGCGAAGGCGGUUCUCUGGGCAUUACCUGACGCUGAGGAGCGAAAGUGUGGGGAGCGAACA